AACUCUCUCACACUCCAAUGUGUCUCUAUGAACCAAAAAGGACAAAAAGAACAACAAUAAAGACUCUAACGGACAAAAACACAAAAGAUAUCCCUCACGCCCCUCUCUCUGCUGCAACAAGAAAAAGAAGAAGCUCGGAGCUUUUUAAGAAAAAAAAUAAAAGAGUUUUCAUUGUGGAGGCACAUACACACUCACAUUACAUAACUCUCUCCGCUGUAACUUCAUAA
rnacentral:lncRNA from 1 species